rnacentral:misc_RNA from 1 species
AACGCACGAGACCUGCGGACCUGCGGAGGGAUCAUUAACAUUCAUCUAAAGCCUGAUGGUUGAGGUAAAACUCUCUAUCAGGCUAACCUAUCAACCGUGUCGUCAAAAAAAUACUGUUUAGACUAUUUGUUAGUUUAAAGCAUUAUUUAUAGAGGUAAAAGUCUGUAAAUUUAUGCUAAAACUAAUAGACCAUCUGACCUUUAUAUUGACUUACUAUAUAACUGUAACCUUUUUACUAAG